UACAGAGGUCUCAAGCGUUGUUCGGAUUCAUUGGGCGUAAAGGGCGCGUAGGCUGCGGGGUAAGUCGGGUGUGAAAUCUCAGAGCUCAACUCUGAAACUGCACUCGAUACUGCUUUGCUUGAGGACUGGAGAGGAGACUGGAAUUCACGGUGUAGCAGUGAAAUGCGUAGAUAUCGUAAGGAAGACCAGUGGCGAAGGCGGGUCUCUGGACAGUUCCUGACGCUGAAGCACGAAGGCCAGGGGAGCAAACGGG
rnacentral:rRNA from 1 species